CUAGAUGAGCAUUUGCCACCGGUGAAUACGAGAACCAUUUUCUUUUACUAUCCAACAUUAUCGAAUAACCGAAAACAACAAAAUGUGUUACAGCUGGCAGAAUCAUUGUCCGAAAUCCUACCGAAAUUCUACCCUCUUGUUGGAAGAUACAUCAAGAAUGAUGGCUUCGUCGACUGCAGUGAUCAAGGCGUAGAGUUUGUCGAAGCACAAGUUGUUGAUGAUGACGUGGAUUUCAACAACCUCGUCUCGAAAAUGGAAAUGGAGGAGCUGAAUAAUAUCCUAUCACGUACACCACACCAAAUCGAUGAAUCUCCGACGGAUCCACUCCUGUCUAUUCAGGUGACGGAAUUUAAGUGAGGGGGGCUUGCAAUUGGCGUCAGCAUUUCUCAUAGAAUCUUCGAUGGAUAUUCUUUCGGAAUGUUCGUGGAUGCCUGGUCAACCGCCAACAACAAUCAUCCAAAUCCAGGUGGCGAAAUCAAGAUUUGCCCGAGUUUUGAUUUGGCGACGCUGUUUCCGGGCUACGGGCCUAGACCUGGGCCGCCUGUGACUCGCGCAUAUCGCCCUAGCCCUAUUGUGAAGAAGUUCUCGUUUAACAAGGAUGCAAUAACAAGCGCGAGAUCGAAACUUAUUACAAGGCCAAAUAACUAUUACUCGAGGGUGCGUGUGGUGUCUGCGGUUUUAGCCAAGGCCCUAAUGAGGGUGGAUCGGGCCAAACACGGAGGAAAAUCAAGAACUUACCUCAUUUGUCAAGCGGUUAACAUGCGGGGGAGAACAAACCCACUGAUGCACAAGUAUUCUUGCGGGAAUUUUGCAUUAAUGUCAGUUGCUCAAUUUUCCGAAACUCGUGAGAACGUAAUCGGGGUUCAAGAACUAGUGGAUAAUAUGGGCGAUUCUGUCAUAAGGUUGAUGCACACCAGUUAUGAAAGUUAUUUAAUAGCCUUGAUUUUAGAAUAUAAACUCUUAUUUGAAAAAAAGAAUUUGUCUGCUAUGUUUAUCGUGAUUUACAAAAUUGCAUCAAGAAAAACGAAAACUAAUUUACAGAACACUGAAGAAGAAACAUUUGUCAUCUGGAAACUUUGACAGAGCAAAAUAACAUGGAAUAUACUAAAUAUGAGAAAACGAUAUUUUAAAAUAAAAUUACAGUGAGUAAUGGUGGUGGGAUGGAGGCCCGUGUAUCGAUCCUCGAUUACGCAUAAUUGAAUGAUGUCCAGAUCAAGCAAGUACUGGCUCCUCCAUAACUGCACUCAAAUUUUUGAACAAUUAACCAAAUGUGUGUGUGUGUGUGUGUGUGUGUGAGAGAGAGAGAGAGAGAGAGAGAGAGAGACCUUUUCUAUGUUCGGAAAUUUCAAUUUCAGGCGAAGAAUCGGGCUCUGGGAUGGUCGGUACUUUGGUCGGAACAUCAGGAAGAUCCAGCUUCUCCUCGUCUUGUUCUUCUGUAGAUGGCGCUGCAGAUGGAACUUUUGGCAUAUCUAGAAGGUUCAUCUGUACAGCAUCAAAGUACCAUUUACUUUAUAUCUCAUGUUACAUCAAGUAUUGCGAGAAAGAGAGCGAUUUUGAUCGAUUAUCUGGAGACUUCAUAAUCUUACCAAAUAAUCGUAAAACGAAUGGAAACUGACAUGAGAAUUUCAGAGCAUGAGACUGCAUAUGUAAUAUUUUAAUGCAUGUAAUGCUCACACGAAAACUAUUAUUCAUGGGAAGCUUAGCAAAUUGAACAAUAUCAUAUUUUCUAUCGAAAUCCCGAACAAGAAACAUGAAGCAGGUACGAGAAUAAUAAUGGCAUUGAAGAAAAAAACGGACCUCGGUCUCAAGAUUCUCGAAUUCUGCUAAAACUUCCUCUUCAUCUUCAGCUGAUAGCUUCUCUCCCAAAAUAGCAUUGAUUUCCUGAUAGAAAAAAGACUAUGUCAGCAGACAGAAAAUCGAAAGAGCAUGUAAAGAAGUAUGAACUAGAGGAAAACGUUCUACAGUUAAACCUAAUAGAGUCAGGACUAGCAAAAUUCUAUUAAUUUAGCGAGAUAUCAAAUUAUCGAACUAAUAAUUUAGUAGGCUUUUACCGAGUCUGGACCAGAAUAAACUAUUAUAAAAGCGAGGUUAUUAAUUUAUCGACAUUCUACUGUAAAUAGAAAAGAUUGUGUUCCUCGUGUUAUAUACCACAUUAAUGGAAACAAUGAACUUCAAGAAACGAUAGGAUUUUCAUAUUUUCAUAAUCAUAGAUACUUUAUUGGGUUUGAAAUGUACUGCCAGUUCAAAAGAACAAGAGAGAUAAAACGUAGAAUUUGGAGCAAAAAAUAAAAAAAUGAAAUAAAAAUCAAGAAUGAAUAAAAUCGAAAUUCGAAACUCACAUCUUGAUAAGCUUUUGCCUCAGCAGUAUCAUCCAUCAGCUUUUGAACAUCUUCGAGGUUUAUCUCAUUUUGUAUGGCUUUAACUGCUUUAUUUCCCGUCUUCAAACUCUCAAAUACCGCCUUUUGCUUGCUCGCAAGUUCAACAUCUGCCAACUGAAGCAAGCCAAAAUCUCAACUAUAUGAUCUCUUACAUACAUAUAUAUAUAUAUAUAUAUAUAAAUGAAAAAAGCUUUCUCGAAAGAAAACGUACUUGCUGCUCUACGUUGAUAAGCCAACCAUCGACUUGCUUCAAUAGGUCUUCUUGAAGCUUCUUCUUCUUCAAAGCUAACAAAGCCCUAUCUUUCCUCUUUUCACGAAGCAAAUCUUUUGCAGCUUGCUUUUCAGCUUCAAUGACAACCUCCAGCUGAAAACAGUACAAGACGAAAAAAGAUUCAAGUUGAUUAACUGAUACUUCGUCGAUGAUGGGUUUUUGCACCAGAGGCGGUUUCUUUUAAAAAAACCUUCACACCCAUAGAAAUUAUAAUAGCCAUUUUUUGGUUUAUAGAACAAUUAAAAAAAUAUAUAAAAAAUUUAGCAGAAUCUUAAGUUACAAAUACAGGAGAGUUCUUGCCGGAGAACAUAACAAAAUCUUUUACCUGACAAAUAAUACUGCCAUGAUAAAUCACAGUGACUGGCCAGCAUGAAAAGCUUCUAAACCAGCAUCGGUUCCAAUCCAAGUGAACCCCGUUCCUUUCGAUAUUCCUCUCGCUUUCAUCAACUCCCUCAAUUGGCUCACACUAUCCCAUUUCCCAGCAUCAGCUAACGCGUUCGACAAAGCAACAUACGCUCCAGGCCUACUCUCUCCACUCACUUUGAAAAGCUCGUUCGCUGCUAUUUUCGCGAGCUCCACAUCGCCAUGGAGUCUGCAAGAACUCAGCAAAGCCGCCCAAACGUCGGAAUUAGGCCUUUCGGACAUUUGCAUCACGAAUUGAAGCGCCUGGUUCAAACUCCCCGCACGCCCUAAUAGAUCUACCAUGCAUGCGUAGUGCUCCAUUCUUGGCUUCAUCGAGUAAACCCGAUCCAUGCACUCGAAUAUCUUCCUCCCUUUGGCAACUAAUCCUGCAUGGGCACAUGCAGAGAGUGCACCGAGAAAAGUAACGUAAUUUGGUUUAGUGUGACGUUCGCUUAUCAUUCUAUCGAAGAGUUCGAGCGAUUCGUUUGGACACCCGUUUUUCCCGUAUCCAUCAAUCAUUGAAGUCCACGAAUAGACGUUCUUUCUCGGCAUGGAAUCAAAAAUGGAUCUUGCAUCAUCGGUUCUCCCACAUUUGGAGUACAUGUCUAUCAGAGCACUGCCAAUCUUUAUGUCUGUGAAAAGCUCGGUUUUCAUUAACUGCCCUUGGAUCUGCUGGCCGAUUUCGAAUGCUGACAAAAGAGAACAAGCACCGAUAAUACUUGCAAAAGUAGAUAUCGUAGGCCUGAAAUUUAGGCUCUGCAUAUCGAUGAAUAUAUGUAUCGCCUUCUUAGCCGUCUCGACUGAUUCACUGUAUCCUUCGAUCAUGGCGUUGUAAACCACCACAUCCUUCUCCACAGUCUUGUGAAAUACAUCCUCGGCAUCUUCCAAACGGCCUUGGUUCAUGUACCCUGUGAUCAUCGAUGUCGAACAAAUCACGUUCUGGUCCAACAUUAAAUCGAACACUCUUCUUGCGUACUCAACCCUCCCACUCUUCACAUACGAGGCAACCAAUGCGGUGUAAAGCACAUCAUCACCUUCAACAUUGGAUUUCAAUAUCUGGGCAUGAACCUCACGCCCCGUAAAAGGUAAACGUGACCCUGCAUUUCCGCUAGUCGAACCCUUCAAAAUCAUCGAAAAUGUGUAUCCGUCGGGCUUUUCAUUCGAGAGGCACAGUUCUCGAACCAAAUCAAAAGAUUUAUCGACAAACCCGUGUUUAGUAUAGCCCGAUAUCAUGUAAUUGUAGGCCGAUAAAGUUCGGCGAGGCAAUUCAUCAAACACCUGGCGCGCGUCUGAUAAACAGGAGGACUUGACGUACAUGAUGAGGAGUUUGAUGGAGAUAUUGACAUUGGGUUCGAUACCAGCUUUGAGUAUGAGGGGAUGGAUCUUUCGGCCGUGUGAGGGAUGAUCUGAGUUUAUGUAAUUCUGAAGAGCUGAUGCCACAGAAAACUCAGUUACAGAGCUAACCUCUAUAAGCGGGAAAUUCGUAUUGGGUUGGUCUAGAAAUCUGAUUUUGCUUAAUAUUCCAUGUCUCAUCGUCUUCUUCCCAUUUGGUAUCAAAGAAUCAUAGUUUCAACUGUAAUUUCAAGAACUCAACGAGUAAACGAAGUUUUUUCCUUUUUUCUGUUUUUUUUUUUUUCCUUCCUUCCUUCUUCUGGGCUCUCUCACAUUAAUUCGAGAAAGGGCUUAUCAUGGGCUGCAAUGAAUCCAAUAGCAAAGAAUUUUUUAUGUUUUUGCUGAUGUUGAUCUAACAUUUUCUGAUUUUAGAAUAAUAUUUUUCAAUCCGAAUUCUGAAAUUCCGAGUUCCGAUUUUUCGAAAUUUCUUGGAUCCAAAUUGGAGUAAAUAUGAGAUUUCGAUUUCCAAUCCGAUUUUCAAUCUCAAAAAAAUCCAAAAAUUUCGAUUUUUACCCAAUAUUACAGUUAGAUUGCUGAUUUCUUCUAUUCGAAAAUUUUCUGAUUUUGGAACAAAUUCUUUCAAACCAAUUUCUGAAAUUUCCAAUUUCUUGUUUGAAUGAAACGGAACUAGUUUUUCACUUCCAAAACAAGAAAUGGCUAAUUACUAUUAGAUUGGUCCGAAUUACACGCCUAAUAGGCUAAUACUACUCCAACCAUGUGCUUUAAUUAACAAGAUUACCUAGAAAUUGGGAAGGGUCACAAUUAUUAAAAUCACAAUUAUUCUCAAAGUUACAUUCAUAAACUAAAACUAAAUUAGUCGCAACGGGAAAGCUUUCAAUUUUUAAUUGACAUCAAUUUUCAAUUUUCAAAAAUCCCCCCUCAUUGGUAAGUAAAUUUGACUCCGUAAGAGUGAACAAAGACAAUACGUAGUCGAGGGAUUGUUUUAAUUACCCAAAUAUUAUGAUUUUUUUCAUAAUUUAGCUUUACCUUAGGGUGUGAUUGUAAUUUUCCCUAAUUUAAAGCAAAUUUUCAAUAUUUUUCCGAAAAAGGUUUUUUUAUUUAUUUAUAUAUUUUAUAGUUAAUUAAAUAAUUUUGAGAUCAUGUAAUUAGGUAGAUCAACAUUUAAGGCACGCUGAUAAACUAUUCACUCGCUUGUCUUGUUCCUUUCAUUUACUCUUCUUACAUCAGACAAAAAAAACACACACACACACACACACACGCAAUUGUGUGGUGUUUUUGUGUGUGUGAAGAAGGGACAGAGAAUACAUUUCUUUUUUAAAUGGAUCAGAUAGUCACAUUAGAGCCUAAAUUGGUUGUUACAAUCAAGAACUCUUCUCCAUUUUUUCACCUUUUUGGUUGUUAUUAUUUCCAUGGUUGUUAAUCUCUUACCAUUUACGGUUCGAUUCAACAAUCCGUUUCAAGUUUUCAACUUUCGAUCUUUUACUAUUCAUAACUUGUCUUAAACAUAAAUUUUAGCAUCUUAUUUGACAAAAAACAAAUAAAUAGGUUUUAUUUAUUUAUUUAUAUAUUUUAUAGUCAUAAUUAGGAAUUUUUCGGAAAUCUUCAUUUUUGGAAUUUUUUCGGAAAUUUUCGGAAUUUUCCCGAAAAAAAAAAAAAAAAAAAAGGAGGAAAAAUUGAUCACCGACACGGUAGCCAAACUGCAGAAAGAAACAUCAAAUAACCAAAACACACAACAGACUCACCAAAGCACACAACAGACUCACAAACACAUAAUUCCGAGCAACCACAUAAUUCUGAGCAACAUAAAACCCAAGAACAGUUCGCAUAAUUCCGAGCAACAAUAAUUCCGAGCAACACAGGCUCAUCAAAUCAACAUAAAACAAACAAACACAUAAUUCCGAGUAAAAAACCCAAAAAUAAUUCAAGCUUUUCAACAUAAACAAACAAAGAUUUAAAAAAAAAAGAAAAUUACCUUGAGAGGAGGGCUGUCGGCGACGGCAACGGAUCGGCAGCAGGCGGCGGGAUGACGGCGGCGGGAUGAUCGGCAGCAGGCGGCAGAGAGCAGCGGCGGACGGCGAACGGCGGAGAGGAGCGGCAGCGGCAGACUGCGGCGGCGGAGGGGGGGCGCCGGCGAAGGGGAAGAUUGAAAGAGAGAGAGAAACAAAUCGGCGGAGGGGAAGAAAAUCGGAGAAAAUGGGGAUUAAGAAAAAGGCUUCCCUAAAUUUUCGUGGCAUCCGGAUCGGGAUACGGCCCUGCCCUAGCGACCGCUCCUUACCUUCAGUUCUUUUCUUUACCCAAAUGCGAAAGCAAAGGGCUAAAAGAAUGUACCAAACCAAGUGGUUCUGUAGUUCUAAUUCAAUUGUUUGCGACGAUUCCUAAUAAAAUCGUCGCCAAGUCAGAUUUAAACGAAUCUCAUAGCGACGUUUUUGAGAUCUUUCGUCGCAAACAAAAAAAAAAAGACUUGCGACAGACAGAAACGUCGCUAAAGAAAAGCGAGAUUUUUUCUAUAAUUAUUUUGGCGACGAUUAAUACACUAUCGUCGCAAAUAAUAAUUAUAAUUCUUUUAACAAAGUAUUUUUCGUGCGACGAAUACACUAUUUUCGUCGCUAUGAAUAAAUAUAAUUUAAUAUUUCCUCUUUAUUACGCUACGUUUAUCCUUAUUCGUCGCCAACCCAAUAAUUUUUUUUUUCACAAUUGCACUAGCGACGUAAACGUCAUAGUCGUCGCGAAGGUAAAAAAAAUAAAUUGCAAAAAAUAUUUUUCAUGCGUCGGUUAUAUAAAAACGUCGCUACGAGAGUGCUUUAUUAUUUUUUUUUCCCUUUGCGACGGUUUUUUAGUAUUAGUCGCAUAUUCGCGAAGAUUACGUUUAUUGUCGCGGCAUAUUCCAUCGAAAUCUUAUUUUCAGCUCACUUGCGACGUUUUUUAGUCAAAAUGGUCGCAAACUAGCGACGAUUCUGGAAUCGUCGCCAAAAAAAAACGUCGCAAGUGAGCUGUUUUGGCCUAGUGUGGGCUUUCAAACUACCAAGUGUAUGAGUAAUAAAGUGCAUGACUAUUGAAAUGCAUGCAUACCAAAGUGCAUUAAUUUCAAAAGUAGAAUCUAAACUGAAACGGAGGAGUAUUGGUGGUGGGCCGAUAAUAAGGGCAACAACGGGGGGCACAGUUGUGGCUUUGGUUGAGAACGACGGGCGCCAGUGAUUGAGAUAUGGAACAACAGGGCGACGGUGGCUGGGCAGAGAACACUAGAGCGGCGGUGGCUGAGGUAGAGAGCGGUGGAGGACGUGCAAUUGUAAAUCUCUGGUGGAAGAAAUGGAGAAGCGGUUGGUGAAAAGAGAAUAGAGAAGGGAGAAUAGUGGGAAAAUAUAAAUAGGAUUUAACGUAAUAAGAGGUUUGAAAAAAUAUGGCAUGUGAGGGCAAAUUAUAUACAUUAGGUUAUUAGUUUGCUGGAUGUUUAUUUAAUUAAAUGACAAGGGGAUUUCACUAAUAAGAAGAAAAAAAGGGUGAAUCCAUUCUUAUUAUACCAAUGAUGAGAGAGAGUUUUCACUAAUAAUCCCCUUUUUUAAUAUUUUUAAAUAAAUAAACGAAAAGGCACUAAAAUGGUGGAUAAUGGAUAUUGAAUAGAUGAAGGGUAAAUUUGGGAAUAAAUGAAUGGAUCAGUCGAUCACUAAUAAAUGAAAAGGGUUAGACCCAUCCUUAUUAGAAAAUGAGUUAAUAGCAUUUUGUCAUCUGUACUUUGCCUGUUUUUCCACUUUGCCACCUUAACUAAAAAAAAUCAUAUGGGCACAUCUUAGCCCACUUUUUUUACGCAGAUAACCACCUAUGAUGAAUAUUCCAACGAAUCUUCUUAUUUACAGGCGCAUACGCGAUGCACAUGCGAAAGUACAAGGGUUUUUUACCUGAAAAUAUCAUAUGGGGUUGAAAUUGAAAGUACCAAUGACUCAAUUAAACUUAAUUUGAAAAUUUAUAAAUAUAUUAAUAUAAAUUUUGGUCAUUUGACCCGAGCUUUUAUUUUUUCCGGUUUUAGUGAUCAGACCGGACUGCUUCAUCUUCGGGUCACGGCCGAAUCGGUUCGACCGGCCGGUUCGGUCCUAAGGAGGAGGGGGAGGAGGAGGAGGGGUUUUGAAGAAGGAGAGGGGCGUGAGAAGUUUUUUGUGUUUGAUAUUUAAAAAAAAAAUGAAAUUUUUAAUGUUUGUGUGGUAUUGAUUUUCAUUAAGGUAUUUACGUCAUUACCUAUUUAUGAUCUAAUUUUUAUUUUGGUGUUAUUGAAGUGAGAAAAAAAUAAGUAUUUGUUUUAGUUGCUCCCUAUUUUUUACUCAGUAUAAGAUCUUAAACAAAUAUAACAUUUAAUAUUAAAACUAAAACAGUUGUUUCCUUACAGUUGAUAAAUCACGUGCAUGUCACAUGAUUAGGAUAUCAACGUAAUUUGACCUCCGAGGUAAGGUCGAAUUAUGAAAAAAUCUCUCAUAUUUGGGUAAUUAUAACUAUCGCCUCAACUAUGAAUUUUCUUACACGUUCCCCCUUAUGGUGUUAAAUUCAACAUAAUCUUCUCGAUUCCGUAAAAUGUUUUCUAGUUUAUACUCGUUUUGUGCAAAAAGACAGUUUCAGAUACACCAGAAUCUGAUGUUUACAUGUCACUAUAGACAAUCUUAUGAUCAUCUUGUUUUUAAAUGUGAAGCUGGAAUGUGAUAGAACUGGUACAAACUCGAGAAUAUUCCACGUAAUCUACAAGAUUCUACUAAAUUUGACACUGUAAGAGUGGACGUGUAAGAAAAUUUAUAAUUGAUGGGUGGUUGUAAUUAUCCAAAUAGGAGGGGUCUUUUCGUAAUUUGACAUUUUCUCAGGAGUGGUUGUAAUUUCCCCUUACUUUUUUUGGUAAAUUCAAAACAAUUAAUUAGACUUGCCUAAUCACGAACCAAGUCUAUUUGAGAAGUACAUAGAUAGAGUUGGGCAUUGAAUUUGAAACAUGUACUUAAGUAAAUUGAUAUAAUAAUAUACAUAACUUUGAAAAGUAUAAAAGGAGAUGUAUGUAUCUAACGUAUAUUCAUCUCUGUAUAAGCAUGAAAAUCAACAUAGUUAGCAGGAAAUUGAUAAAACCAAGUACCCCAACUCCUCAAAACAUUAACAAGUACAAAAUUUCUUUCCUAGAUGAGCAUUUGCCACCGGUGAAUACGAGAACCAUUUUCUUUUUAUCGAAUAAUCGAAAACAGCAAAAUGUGUUACAGCUGGCAGAAUCAUUGUCCGAAAGGUACAUAAAGAAUGAUGGCUUCGUUGACUGCAGUGAUCAAGGCGUAGAGUUUGUCGAAGCACAAGUUGUUGAUGAUGAUGACGUAGAUUUCAACGGCCUCGUCUCAAAAAUGGAAAUGGAGGAGCUGAAUAAUCUCCUAUCACGUACACCACACCAAGUUGACGAAUUACCGACGGAUCCACUUCUGUCUGUUCAGGUGACGGAAUUUAAGUGCGGGGGCCUUGCAAUUGGCGUCAGCGUUGCUCAUAGAAUCUUCGAUGGAUAUUCUUUUGGAAUGUUCGUGGACGCCUGGUCAACCGCCAACAACAACAAUCAUCCAAAUCCAGGUGGUGAAAUCAAGAUCAUUUGCCCGAGUUUUGAUUUGGCGACGUUGUUUCCGGGCUACGGGCCUAGACCCGGGCCGUCUGUGACUCGCUCAUAUCGCCCUAGCCCUAUCGUGAAGAAGUUCACGUUUAACAAGGAUGCAAUAACAAGCGCGAGAUCGAAACUAAUUCAAAGGCCAAAUAGUUAUUACUCGAGAGUGCGUGUGGUGUCUGCGGUUUUAGCCAAGGCCCUAAUGGGGGUGGAUCGGGCCAAGCACGGAGGAAAAUCAAGAACUUACCUCAUUUGUCAAGCGGUCAACAUGCGG
rnacentral:lncRNA from 1 species